AGCAGCCGCGGUAAUUCCAGCUCCAAUAGCGUAUAUUAAAGUUGUUGCAGUUAAAAAGCUCGUAGUUGAAUUUCGGGAUUGACACAUCGGUCGUGCCUUAAGGGGUGUGAACUGGUGUAGUCAAUUUCUCACCUUCUGGAGAACCGCGAUGUCCUUAAUUGGGUGCCGCGAGGAACCAGGACCUUUACUUUGAAAAAAAUUGAGUGUUUAAAGCAGGCAUUUUUGCUUGAAUACAUUAGCAUGGAAUAAUAAAAAUAGGACGGCAUGAUUCUAUUUUUGUUGGUUUCUAGGAUCACCGUAAUGAUUAAUAUGGAUAGUUGGGGGCAUUAGUAUUCAAUUGUCAGAGGUGAAAAUUCUUGGAUUUAUUGAAGACUAACUACUGCGAAAGCAUUUGCCAAGGAUGUUUUUCAUUAAUCAAGAACGAAAGUUAGGGGAUCGAAGACGAUCAGAUACCGUCGUAGUCUUAACCAUAAACUAUNCCGACUAGGGAUCGGAUGAUGUUAAUUUUUUUAAUGUACUC
rnacentral:rRNA from 1 species